UGGCUCAGUGGUUAAGAGCACUGACUGCUCUUCCAGAGGACCUGGGUUCAAUUCCCAG
rfam:Neotoma lepida isolate 417 scaffold_350, whole genome shotgun sequence.